UGAAAGUCAAGAAAGCAAUUAUCCAGGUGGCAGGUGGACCACCAGAGGUUACAGGUUAGAGUUGGUUUAAAAAAGUAUGAACGUUCUGGGAAGUAAUGUAUGCAGACAGAUUUCAUCAAGACUACAAUAUUUUCAGGCAAGUAUGUUAAAGUCAUGUAUUGCUAGCUGAUUUAUCCACUGACCUCCAAAGCUAGGAUAACAGACAGAAAUGUGGGUUAGUAGCUUGAGUCAUGAUUGCAACACAGACCUGAGAAAAGCAUAAAAAGCUAAAGAAAUCUCCACAAGAUGCUAGAACAAAAUGAUCAGCUACCCAGAGAAAUCCUGGGACACGCCACACUGAGGGCAGAAGUCUGUCAUUGGCACUGGGGGGAGAAUGUUCCAGAAUGGAGGCUAUUGACCCGAGACGUGAUGGUCUGCCGGGGUUCGGGAGGCCUCCAGAAUACUACGGAAACACUGAACCGGCCCAAUGGACUGUGACACCAACACCUUUACUACUGAAUCUCCAGUGGUCACUGGCGUGGAGUUAAACAUACCCAUGGUCCAGUUUCAGACAAAUUCCUGACAGGCAGUUUAUGCUGUCUCAUAUCCCGUCCUGGAAGAAAACUAGUAGAAAUGAUAAGAUCCUCUCCGGCUUUGAGAUUGGAUGGUGAGCGUUGGCGAACUGCGAUCUUCAGUUCUCCGCACAGUUUAAUGGGGUUCAAGAUCUGUUUUUGGCCAGUUCACUCAAGGACAUUCACUGACUUGUCUGAAAGCCACUCCAGCAUUGUCCCGGAUGUGUGCUUCAGAUCGAAGGAUGAGAUCUCGACCCAGUCUGAUGUCCUGCUUGCUCUGGAUCAUGUUUGUUUCAGAGACCUCUGUAUUUUCCAUUCACCUUUCCCUCAAACCUUUGUUUCAGAGACCUCUGUAUUUUCCAUUCACCUUUCCCUCAAUCCUUUGUUUCAGAGACCUCUGUAUUUUCCAUUCAUCCUUCCCUCAAUCCUUUGUUUCAGAGACCUCUGUAUUUUCCAUUCACUUUUCCCACAAUCCUUUGUUUCAGAGACCUCUGUAUUUUCCAUUCAUCCUUCCCUCAAUUCUUUGUUUCAGAGACCUCUGUAUUUUCCAUUCAUCCUUCCCUCAAUCCUUUGUUUCAGAGACCUCUGUAUUUUCCAUUCACCUUUCCCUCAAUACUUCCAGUCCCUGCCACUGAGAAGCAUCCUCAUAGUACGAUGCACCCACUACCAUUCUUCAACGUAGGGAUGGUGUAAGUCAAGUGAUGAGUGUUACCUUGUCACCAUAGGUAGUUAUUGGUAUUCAGGCCUAAUAAUUUGAUUAAAGACAUGUCA